rnacentral:rRNA from 1 species
CGUGUAGGCGGUCAGGUAAGUGGGAUGUGAAAUCCCUCGGCUCACCCGAGGACCUGCAUCCCAAACUGCCUGGCUUGAGUACGGGAGAGGAUGGAGGAAUUCCUGGUGUAGCGGUGAAAUGCGUAGAUAUCAGGAGGAACACCGGUGGCGAAGGCGUCCAUCUGGCCCGAUACUGACGCUGAGGCGCGAAAGCUAGGGGAGCAAACGGGAUUAGAUACCCCGGUAGUCCUAGCCGUAAACGGUGAGCACUAGGUGUUGGAGGCAUCGACCCCUCCAGUGCCGCAGCUAACGCAAUAAGUGCUCCGCCUGGGGAGUACGGCCGCAAGGUUGAA